AUGCACGCUAGCUACAGGCUUCACCCCUGCCAGUCGCGGGGAAACGGCAUCGACAGCUUGCUUUUGAUGGGCGUCGACCGGCGCACGGGUGAGUAACGCGUAUCCAACCUGCCCAUCACUUGGGAAUAACCUUGCGAAAGUAAGACUAAUGCCCAAUGACAUCCCACGAAGGCAUCCGAAUGGGAUUAAAGAUUUAUCGGUGAUGGAUGGGGAUGCGUCUGAUUAGCUUGUUGGCGGGGUGACGGCCCACCAAGGCAACGAUCAGUAGGGGUUCUGAGAGGAAGGUCCCCCACAUUGGAACUGAGACACGGUCCAAACUCCUACGGGAGGCAGCAGUGAGGAAUAUUGGUCAAUGGGCGAGAGCCUGAACCAGCCAAGUAGCGUGCAGGAUGACGGCCCUAUGGGUUGUAAACUGCUUUUAUAAGGGAAUAAAGUGGGUCACGUGUGACUUUUUGCAUGUACCUUAUGAAUAAGGACCGGCUAAUUCCGUG
rnacentral:rRNA from 1 species